CCUACGGGGGGCUGCAGUCGAGGAUCUUUAGCAAUGGGCGAAAGCCUGACUAUGCGACGCCGCGUGAGGGAUGAAGGUUUUCGGAUCGUAAACCUCUUUCGAUAGGGAAGAAUACCCAUCUUAAUACGAUGGAAUGACGGUACCUAGAGAAGAAGCCACGGCCAACUCCGUGCCAGCAGCCGCGGUAAUACGGAGGUGGCGAGCGUUACUCGGAUUCAUUGGGUGUAAAGGGCAGGUAGGCGGACCAAAAAGUCCUAUUUGAAAUCCUUCAGCUCAACUGAAGAACUGGAUAGGAAACUGUUGGUCUUGAGGACAGAAGAGGAAAGCGGAAUUCCCGGUGUAAGAGUGAAAUCUGUAGAUAUCGGGAGGAACGCCUGUGGCGAAAGCGGCUUUCUGGUCUGUCCCUGACGCUGAACUGCGAAAGCUAGGGUAGCAAACAGGAUUAGAUACCCUGGUAGUC
rnacentral:rRNA from 1 species